rnacentral:rRNA from 1 species
UUGAAAGGGAAACGAUUGAAGUCAGUCGUACCGACGAGAGAUCAGCUUAUCGUGUGUUAACUUGUGGGCGUGCGUGAGUUUCGGCCUCGCUGUUUGCAUGUUUGUGCGCUUUGGGUGUACUUUUUCGUAUGGCUGGCCAACAUCAGUUUCGAUCACCAUAAAAUGACUGGCGGAAUGUAGCUUCGAUUUCGGUUGAAGUGUUAUAGCCUCUGGUAGAUGUGGUAAUUGGGACUGAGGAUUGCAACGAAUAUCCUUUGGGCUAUCCGUCUGGCCUCUGAAAGUUGCUUGGGUGCUGAAAGCUUGCUUAUGGUUAUCUAAGUUAACGGUCAAUAGGUUAGAACGUGAUUACAUUCGUUAAGGAUGUUGACGUA